rnacentral:rRNA from 1 species
GCUUACGGCCACACCACGCUGAACGUGCCCGAUCUCGUCUGAUCUCGGAAGCCAAGCAGCGUCGGGCCUGGUUAGUACUUGGAUGGGUGACCGCCUGGGAAUACCAGGUGCUGUAAGCA